rnacentral:rRNA from 1 species
GACGAACGCUGGCGGCGUGCUUAACACAUGCAAGUCGAACGGAAAGGCCCUGCUUGCAGGGUACUCGAGUGGCGAACGGGUGAGUAACACGUUGGUGAUCUGCCCUGCACUUCGGGAUAAGCCUGGGAAACUGGGUCUAAUACCGGAUAGGAGCCAUUUUUAGUGUGAUGGUUGGAAAGUUUUUUCGGUGUAGGAUGAGCUCGCGGCCUAUCAGCUUGUUGGUGGGGUAAUGGCCUACCAAGGCGGCGACGGGUAGCCGGCCUGAGAGGGUGGACGGCCACAUUGGGACUGAGAUACGGCCCAGACUCCUACGGGAGGCAGCAGUGGGGAAUAUUGCACAAUGGGCGCAAGCCUGAUGCAGCGACGCCGCGUGGGGGAUGACGGCCUUCGGGUUGUAAACUCCUUUCGCUAGGGACGAAGCUUUUUGUGACGGUACCUAGAUAAGAAGCACCGGCUAACUACGUG